CAUGCUGUAAACGUUGGGCACUAGGUGUGGGGACCUUGUGGUUUCUGCGCCGUAGCUAACGCAUUAAGUGUCCCGCCUGGGGAGUACGGCCGCAAGGCUAAAACUCAAAGGAAUUGACGGGGACCCGCACAAGCGGCGGAGCAUGCGGAUUAAUUCGAUGCAACGCGAAGAACCUUACCAAGGCUUGACAUGUACCGGUACAGUGUAGAGAUAUGCUGGCCUUUGGGGCUGGUGUGCAGGUGG
rnacentral:rRNA from 1 species